rnacentral:lncRNA from 1 species
GGACUUUGGUUGACCAAGGUCAACCAUCUGGGGGGAUAGUUUUAAAGUUUUGCAGGUUUGCAGAUUGUGGUGUUUAUAGGUUUACAGAUGUGUGUUGUUUACUGAUUUACAGGUUUUCAGAUUCAGGUUACAGGUUUUCAGAUUCAGGUUAUAGGUUUUCAGCAACCAGGAUUACAGGGAAAAUAAGAAAUAAAGGCAGAGAUUUUUCCUCCUGUUUUCUUCUUGAACCAACCCCAGCCAUAGUUUCACCUCUGAUCUGUUUGAAUAUGUUCUUGGGAGCUGAACCAUGUUCUGACCUGUUCCUUAGAAACCAUGUAUCAAAUCUAAAUUAGGUUCGCAUCUAUCCGUAGGUAGGAAACAAUAAAUGGGACUAUUUUUCAGAUUUGAGUUAUACUCAUCUUUGUAAUUUGUACCAUGCUUUGACUCGAAGCAGGAAACAAGGAAUUCGCAUUAGGAACUAUGCUUGAAGUAGGAAACUUUCUAACUAAGAAGUUUUGUCUUCUUGCCUCAUGCUUUUUGACGCUGAAGUUUUAUCAUGCUAAUCAACAUGGAUUAGAAAAUUGGGCCUCUACUUAGGCAUGAGAUGAUGUAUAGCAUGUAUAUGUGGACCUAUAAUGCGGCUAUAAGUNNNNNNNNNNNNNNNNNNNNUUUUCUUGCCUCAUGCUUUUUUGACGCUGAAGUUUUAUCAUGCUAAUCAACAUGGAUUAGAAAAUUGGGCCUCUACUUAGGCAUGAGAUGAUGUAUAGCAUGUAUAUGUGGACCUAUAAUGCGGCUAU